GCCAAUGUGGCGGAGUGGUUUGAGCGUUGGACUACGACUCUGGAGAUCAGGGUUUGAUUUCCUGCUCAGCCA